AUUGAACGCUGGCGGCAUGCCUUACACAUGCAAGUCGAACGGUAGCAGGUCUUCGGAUGCUGACGAGUGGCGAACGGGUGAGUAAUACAUCGGAACGUGCCUAGUAGUGGGGGAUAACUACUCGAAAGAGUGGCUAAUACCGCAUGAGAUCUACGGAUGAAAGCAGGGGAUCGCAAGACCUUGUGCUACUAGAGCGGCCGAUGGCAGAUUAGGUAGUUGGUGGGAUAAAAGCUUACCAAGCCGACGAUCUGUAGCUGGUCUGAGAGGACGAUCAGCCACACUGGGACUGAGACACGGCCCAGACUCCUACGGGAGGCAGCAGUGGGGAAUUUUGGACAAUGGGCGCAAGCCUGAUCCAGCAAUGCCGCGUGCGGGAUGAAGGCCUUCGGGUUGUAAACCGCUUUUGUACGGAACGAAAAGCCCUGGGUUAAUACCCUGGGGUCAUGACGGUACCGUAAGAAUAAGCACCGGCUAACUACGUGCCAGCAGCCGCCGCAGUAA
rnacentral:rRNA from 1 species